CCCGGCGGGCACCGCCUUCGCAGCCGGGAGAGAAGCGUUGACUGUGUGGGGAAGGCUGGCUCGGGUCGCGGCCGCGGCGAGUUACAUCCUUUUCCAACCUGUCCGCGUCCGCCGCCGCCCGUGACGGAGCCGGGAUGUUCGGGAUGCUGAGCAGCAGCUUUGAGGAUGAUCCCUUUUUCUCCGAUUCUUUUAUUGCACACCGAGAAAGUAUGCGACAGAUGAUGAGAAGUUUUUCUGAACCUUUUGGAAGAGAUUUGCUCAGCAUCUCUGAUGGCAGAGGAAGAGCUCAUAAUCACAUGAGACAUGAUGAUGGUGAAAAUUCUUUGACUCGUACAGAUGUCAACCCUUUUCAGGCAAUGGACCGAAUGAUGUUAAAUAUGCGAAACAGUAUGCAGGAAUUACAAAGAAACUUUGGUCACCUUUCAGUGGAUCCAAAUGGACAUUCAUUUAGUUCUUCCUCAAUUAUGACUUAUUCCAAAGUAGGAGAUGAACCACCAAAGGUUUUCCAGGCCUCAACUCAAACCCGUAGGGCUCCAGGAGGAAUAAAGGAAACUAGGAGAGCAUUGAGAGAUUCUGACAGUGGACUAGAAAAAAUGGCUGUUGGUCAUCAUCUUCACGACAGAGCUCAUGUCAUUAAAAAGUCAAAGAACAACAAAACUGGAGACGAAGAGGUCAACCAAGAGUUCAUCAAUAUGAAUGAAAGUGAUGCUCACGCUUUUGAUGAUGAAUGGCAGAAUGAGAUUUUGAAGUACAGACCAGCGGGACAGUGGCGCCAUGUGGAAAACCCUAGGAUGCGAAGUGUCGGUCAUGAGAAUUCAGGCUCCCGAGAACUUAAAAGAAGGCCAUAAGAGAGUGGAGGAUUGCUGCAGAAGGUGGAGGGCUUCACAGAACCAGCGAUGGACAAGGAGAAACCUCAUCAAAGUCCAGCCAUUGAACAUGGAAGAAGAUCAAAUGUUUUUGUGGACAAACUCAACAUCAAAGGAUCACCUGUGAAAAUCAACAAAAAAUAAAUAGGCUUGCAGUUGA